AUCCUACGGGAGGCAGCAGUGGGGAAUAUUGCACAAUGGGCGCAAGCCUGAUGCAGCCAUGCCGCGUGUAUGAAGAAGGCCUUCGGGUUGUAAAGACUUUCAGCAGUGAGGAAGGUGGGUAUGUUAAUAGCAUAUUCAUUUGACGUUAGCUGCAGAAGAAGCACCGGCUAACUCCCGUGCCAGCAGCCGCGGUAAUACGGAGGGUGCGAGCGUUAAUCGGAAUUACUGGGCGUAAAGCGCAUGCAGGUGGUUUGUUAAGUCAGAUGUGAAAGCCCCGGGGCUCAACCUCGGAAUUGCAUUUGAAACUGGCAAACUAGAGUACUGUAGAGGGGGUAGAAUUUCAGGUGUAGCGGUGAAAUGCGUAGAGAUCUGAAGGAAUACCGGUGGCGAAGGCGGCCCCCCUGGACAGAUACUGACACUCAGAUGCGAAAGCGUGGGGAGCAAACAGGAUUAGAUACCCUGGUAG
rnacentral:rRNA from 1 species